rnacentral:lncRNA from 1 species
CCCAUUGUGGAGUCAUUUGAUUCCAGAAGAAUCAUAAAAUGCAGAGUGACAAAGUCCCAUUCAAUCUUCAAAACAAAACAAUCACAAACGUUGCACGAACAACACCGAAAUCAGAAUCUCACAGAACAAUGAAAACAUCAAAGAAAAAGAGCAUUUUAUUAAGAAGAACGAAAAUUACAAAAAAAUGUAUCGAACGAAAAGUGCAAUCGGAGCCACCGCGGGCUGUCACCACCGUGAUGUGUGCUCCAAAAGCAAGAAAACUCAAAUCUACUCUACAAAAAACGUAAACCCUAAUCUUGAGAAUGAAGAAUUGUAGNGUGAAAAGCGUCUCUGUCUGUCUAAACUAUGUACAUUGCAGAGCACCCUUUUUAUAGGGUCUGGAAAGAAAAAAAAUGAAAGAUGAAAAAGGAAAAGGAAACUUGCUCCAGAAGCUUUGAUAAUCGGACGACCCUCUUCUUUUGUCAUGCUCCACAACCCUCCGAUCACCUUCUCUUCGGUCAGCUUUGGUCAGGGUCUGGUCAGCUCCAGUCACUGUCCGAUCAGCCCCUCUCUUCAUCUCGCAUCCUCUCGCAUAAGCCCUAGCCCGAGGGUAUGUUUCCUCUCAAGUGAAUUACUCUCUCGCUGGAACCUAGCAUAAAGGAAUGCUUUUCUCCAAAUGAAGUCUCAAACUAAGACCNCCCAAAAGUUGCAUCCAAGUCAAAACUCACUGUUUCACUAAUGUUGGAAUCAACCCAAAUCCAGUCAGUAGCAACNAGCCCAAUUACAAAUCAUGUGCAAUCAAAUUUGCCAACCUAAUUCCCGUAACAGCUCAACAUUCAGUGGCCCAAUUUAUUACAUUUCAUUUAAUUUUUCCCCAAUCCCAUGUGCA